rnacentral:rRNA from 1 species
UACGUAGGGUGCGAGCGUUGUCCGGAAUUAUUGGGCGUAAAGAGCUUGUAGGCGGUCUGUCGCGUCUGCUGUGAAAAUCCGGGGCUCAACCCCGGACUUGCAGUGGGUACGGGCAGACUAGAGUGUGGUAGGGGAGACUGGAAUUCCUGGUGUAGCGGUGAAAUGCGCAGAUAUCAGGAGGAACACCGAUGGCGAAGGCAGGUCUCUGGGCAUUAACUGACGCUGAGGGGCGAAAGCAUGGGGAGCGAACAGG